UGUAUAGCAAUUGCUAGUUGCACUAAAAGUUUUAGUGUGAAAUCAAUUUAGUUGAAUAAAAUUCUGGGUGGAAUUAUGAUAAUGACAUAAUCUGUUCAUAAGUCUUGACCAAAUUACGUGCCAGCAGUCGCGGUAAUACGUAGAAGACAAGUGUUAUUCAUCUUUAAUAGGUUUAAAGGGUACUUAGACGGUAAAUCAAGCCUUAAUAAGGGACUAAUUUGCUAGAGUUUUAUGUGAAAAAGUAUUAAAGUACUGCUGGUGUAGAGAUGAAAUUCUGUCAUACCUUGAAUGGCACAGGUUAAGGCGAAAGCAUCUUUUUAUGUAAAAACUGACGUUGAAGGACGAAGGCUUUGUGUCUCGAACAGGAUUAGAUACCCUAGUAGUCUAAGCAGACAAUGAUGAAUGUCAUAGAUUAGAUAAAAUUUGAUCUAUAAAUGAAAAUGUAAGCAUUCCACCUCAAGAGUAAUUUGGCAACAUUGGAACUGAAAUCAUUAGACCGUUUCUGAGAACAGUAGUGAAGUAUGUUGUUUAAUUUGAUAAUCCGCAAAAAACCUUACCACUAAUAUGAAUAGAUAUCUUUUAUCAUACAAGCGUUGCACGGCUGUCUUCAGUUAAUGUCGUGAGACUUUGGUUAGUUCCAUAAAAUUAACGUAAACCCUUACUUUAUUUACUUAUAAACUAGAUCACCGCUAUAUU
rnacentral:rRNA from 1 species